rnacentral:lncRNA from 1 species
CAUGGAAUGUGGGGAGGGCAGAAGGAAAAUCAGACCCUUGGUAUCAAGAGAAUCAAGAAGAUUGCUGUGGCAAUAGCUGAUUAGGUAGUCAAACAAAAUCCCCACCCCAUCCCCAGAAGAAAUAUAAACCCUCAUGAACUAAGAAGAGAUCCAGACCCUUGUGUUUUCAGUUAGCUGCGUAAGAAAUCAAACUACCUCAGGAAUAAUGAAGAAGGAAGAAAGAAUAUGGCUUGGUCAUGGAACUUCAUGGAGAAUUCACCAGAUCAGAGGCAUAACAGGGAAGAAAAAAGAGUUGCCCUCCCCCAGAAGGCAAUAUUUUAUUAUCCCAAAUUUACAGAUGAGGAAACUGAAGCUCAGAGAGAACCUUCCUUUGCUAAGGAUAGAACCAAAUUCUAUCACAAGAAACCAAAGACACAUUUUCCUCAGCUGCUUAUAUGCCAGUCAAUACAGUGGAGAAGAAACACAAGAACACACCCAUUCCAGGGAAGUAUCUUUUCAAGGAAACCAAGAAAGUUCAUCUGCUUCUUUCUCAUGCAUGAGUCAGAAGGUCCUCUGGGUCUUACUCUCACACUAUUAACAAUCCAGGGUGAAUAA